AAUACCUUUUAAAGAACAACAGUCAAAAAAUGUUUGUUGCAUAAUUAAAGAAAUGAACAAUAAGUAUUUGUUGGAUUGAACUGAUUACUUGUUUUUGCACAUUUUCAGAAGCUUAGAAGACUUUUUGUGUGGAAUAUGUGCUUGCCUUAUAUCACCCAGGGGAAGCACUCUGGUGUCUCAGGCAAUGGGCAGGGCCAUAAAGCUCCCAAAACUUCUGUUGCUUGUGUUAUGCUACCAGGAGUGGUGGAGGGGCAAAGCCAGAUAGGAGCUAGGUCAGGCAAGUCCACACUGGCUCCACUCAUGUGCGGCAAGCAGCAGUCCCAGUGGGGAUAGAAGGGCAGUUCCCUAGCCACUGGAGUAAUGUUCCAGGGAGGAGCACAGCUGCCUCUGCUGCACAGAAAUGUCCACCCAGGGAGUGGGGAGUAACAGGCAUGCACU
rnacentral:lncRNA from 1 species